UCGCUUUGGAAACUGUCAAACUUGAGUGCAGAAGGGGAGAGUGGAAUUCCAUGUGUAGCGGUGAAAUGCGUAGAUAUAUGGAGGANCACCGGUGGCGAAAGCGGCUCUNUGGUCUGUAACUGACGCUGAGGCUCGAAAGCGUGGGGAGCGAACAGGAUUAGAUACCCUGGUAGUCCACGCCGUAAACGAUGAGUGCUAGGUGUUGGGUCCUUUCCGGGAUUCAGUGCCGCAGCUAACGCAUUAAGCACUCCGCCUGGGGAGUACGACCGCAAGGUUGAAACUCAAAGGAAUUGACGGGGGCCCGCACAAGCGGUGGAGCAUGUGGUUUAAUUCGAAGCAACGCGAAGAACCUUACCAGGUCUUGACAUCCCGAUGCUAUUUCUAGAGAUAGGAAGUUACUUCGGUACAUCGGUGACAGGUGGUGCAUGGUUGUCGUCAGCUCGUGUCGUGAGAUGUNNNNNNANNNNNGCAACGAGCGCAACCCCUAUUGUUAGUUGCCAUCAUUCAGUUGGGCACUCUAGCGAGACUGCCGGUAAUAAACCGGAGGAAGGUGGGGAUGACGUCAAAUCAUCAUGCCCCUUAUGACCUGGGCUACACACGUGCUACAAUGGUUGGUACAACGAGUUGCGAGUCGGUGACGGCGAGCUAAUCUCUUAAAGCCAAUCUCAGUUCGGAUUGUAGGCUGCAACUCGCCUACAUGAAGUCGGAAUCGCUAGUAAUCGCGGAUCAGCACGCCGCGGUGAAUACGUUCCCGGGC
rnacentral:rRNA from 1 species